UACGGAGGAUGCGAGCGUUAUCCGGAUUUAUUGGGUUUAAAGGGUGCGUAGGCGGACGUUCAAGUCGGCGGUCAAAUGGGCGGGCUCAACCCGUUCUCGCCGUCGAAACUGGGCGACUGGAGUGGGAGAGAGGCAUGCGGAAUGCGCGGUGUAGCGGUGAAAUGCAUAGAUAUCGCGCAGAACUCCGAUCGCGAAGGCAGCGUGCCGGCUCCUUACUGACGCUGAAGCACGAAAGCGUGGGGAUC
rnacentral:rRNA from 1 species